GUGCCAGCAGCCGCGGUAAUUCCAGCUCCAAUAGCGUAUAUUAAAGUUGUUGUGGUUAAAAAGCUCGUAGUUGAACCUUGGGCCUGGCUGGCCGGUCCGCCUCACCGCGUGCACUGGUCCGGCCGGGCCUUUCCCUCUGUGGAACCCCAUACCCUUCACUGGGCGUGGCGGGGAAACAGGACAUUUACUUUGAAAAAAUUAGAGUGCUCCAGGCAGGCCUAUGCUCGAAUACAUUAGCAUGGAAUAAUAAAAUAGGACGCGCGGUUCUAUUUUGUUGGUUUAUAGGACCGCCGUAAUGAUUAAUAGGGACAGUCGGGGGCAUCAGUAUUCAACUGUCAGAGGUGAAAUUCUUGGAUCAGUUGAAGACUAACUACUGCGAAAGCAUUUGCCAAGGAUGUUUUCAUUAAUCAGGAACGAAAGUUAGGGGAUCGAAGACGAUCAGAUACCGUCGUAGUCUUAACCAUAAACUAUGCCGACUAGGGAUCGGACGGUGUUAUUCAUGACCCGUUCGGCACCUUACGAGAAAUCAAAGUGCUUGGGCUCCAGGGGGAGUAUGGGUCGCAAGGCUGAAACUUAAAGAAAUUGACGGAAGGGCACCACCAGGGUGGAGCCUGCGGCCUUAAUUUGACUCAACACGGGGAAACUCACCAGGUCCAGACACAAUAAGGGAUUGACAGAUUGAGAGCUCUUUCUUGAUUUUGUGGGUGGUGUGCAUGGCCGUUCUUAGUUGGUGGGGUGACUUGUCUGCUUAAUUGCGAUAACGAACGAGACCUUAUCCUGCUAAAUAGGCCCGCAUUGCUCCGGCAGUGCGCUGGCUUCUUAGAGGGACUUUCGGCUCAAGCCGAAGGAAGUUU
rnacentral:rRNA from 1 species